UUCAACACCAACCUCCCAAGGUAUGUGUUCCUAAGUCUUCGAAUUAACUCAACUUGAAGACAACACUCCUAAUCCAGUUUAUAACACAUUGAACUAAACAUACAUCAAUACUACGACUCAAUGAAAACCUCCUAGUACAUAGAAUCUAUAAUAGGAUUUGAUUCAUCAAUGUGUUCCUUCAGCCUAUUGGUAGCACUUGCAAAGUCAAUUUUUCAAUUGCCCUUUUAGCUCUAUAAAUGCACAAGUAUUUUGGACGACUUCACCUCUAUUUAAGCACAAUUAUUCAUAGAGUUAUUGUUCACUUCAAACUCCUCAUUGACUUGAACUCUCUUGACUUAGAGUUCUAAGACUCCUUCUUCCAUUCAAACUCCUAGCUUCUUUAGACUCUUUCUUCAAAUCAAAUUCAUUGAUUCUUUUGUAUUGUAGCGAACUCCAACUCUUCAAUUCAGCCGUAACUUGAAGAGUUCUACUUCAACUAAGACUCCUUCAAUUAAACUACUUGCCUCUUUAGACCCUCCAGUACAAGGUCCCCG
rnacentral:lncRNA from 1 species